rnacentral:rRNA from 1 species
AUACGUAGGGGCGAGCGUUGUCCGGAUUUAUUGGGCGUAAAGGGUGUGUAGGCGGCCUUGUAAGUCAGAUGUGAAAGAUCAUGGCUUAACUGUGGUAAGCAUUUGAAACUGCAGGGCUUGAGUACAGGAGGGGAUAGCGGAAUUCCUAGUGGAGCGGUAAAAUGCGCAGAUAUUAGGAAGAAUACCAGUGGCGAAGGCGGUUUGCUGGCUGCAUACUGACGCUGAAGCGCGAAAGCCAGGGGAGCAAACGGGAUUAGAUACCCCGGUAGUCCUGGCAGUAAACGAUGUAUGCUGGGUGUGGGAGUAGCGAUACCUCCGUGCCGAAGUUAACGCGAUAAGCAUACCGCCUGGGGAGUACGGUCGCAAGAUUGAAACUCAAAGGAAUUGACGGGG